rnacentral:lncRNA from 1 species
CGCCGCUAGCGCCUCAAUCGCGCGGAGAAUUGAAUCCCUCCACUUCUACUUUCCAGGUCCCCGGACCCUGGGCUUUGAGGGAAAUCCCUCCGCUCGCACCCCUUACUCCAGUCCUCCCAGGUGGCCAAUCGUUGGUCGGGGGAGGAGGUGCGGAGCUGAGGGUUGGGUAGUAAUUUCUGCCAAUCAGCUCUUAGAGGCCAAGGCGGGGAAACUGCGGGGAGGGGAGGAGAUAGAGGCGCAACAGGUUGUCCUGGAAGUGAGGGAAGAAGUGGCCAGGAGUUGCCCACCCCUGCUUGCGCUACUCUCUGGGCUGCUAUUAAUAGAUCUGGUACUCCUGCAGAGGAGCCGGAACACACUGCUGUGCUGGGUUCACUUCAUCUGCCGGCGACCGAGGGUUACCCAUUUUAGCCACCCCCACCCCUCCGCCCUAGUCAAUGAAAUCCCGCGCAGGGCAUGGCCAUUUCCCAAGGAAACUUGCAAACCCAGGGGAAAGUUAGACGCAAUGCUUUUUGAGUUUGAAGCGAAACCCAGAGCGUUUGAGAAGAAAUUCUGGGGCAUAUUUGCAAAAGGACAGCUGGAAUUAAAAGCCAUAGCUAGAGCAGGUUGCACUCCAGCCCAGCCCCCUUCGGCGCGCCCAGACGCUGCCUUCUCCUCGUGAAUUACAAUGGGCACAGUCCUCCGAUUGAAAUCCCUGCUAUGUGCUUGUCACAGGAGAGGCACUCAACAAAUGUCAGCUGAAUGUAUCAAUAGAACCCACACAAGUUCAAACAUCACAUUCAAGUAACAAGAUGUUUAGCUGGGCACAUGGCCACUCAAAAUGAAGACUUCAUUCUUGGCCUGCCUUGCAGGAAGAUAUGGCCACGUGACUGAGAUCUGGCCUAUGGAAUGUGAAUAGAAAUAUAUUGCACCUCCCCCUUUCUUCUUCUUCUGAUCAUUUUAUCCAGUUUCUUGGAACUUGGAUCGGCUGCUGAAACUCCAUCUCAUAUUAUGAGGGGAAAGGCCAUAGUCCACUAGAGUUACUGGUAUAGGAAGCUGGAAAAAGCCUGUGUCCCCAAGGAAUUUUUUGAGCAACGCUAUCAUGUCACUCCUGGAUUGACUGCCUACAAGACAUUUUUAAAUGUGAGAUAAAUAAACCUUCAUAUUUUUAAUCAACUAUUUUUUUCUUCUUUUACUUGAAGCAGUAUUUUAUUCUAACUAAAACAAAUUAAGAACUAAAAUUUAGUAAACCUAAGGUAUUUCAUUGCAUCAAAAAACUUAUGAAAUAAUUUAACACUGUAAUUAUCGAACAUAAAUAGAUAAGCUAACAAAAGGAUAUGUAGGAUGACAAAAUGAACUCAUCCAGCAGUUUCAAAAAUCAUGUCAGUCUUUAAUUUUUUAAAUUUGAACUAUGCUAUACAUAGAAUAUAAUAUACAUAAUUGCACAUGUACAAUUUUUAAAAAUUAGGAUGAAAUGAGCACCUAUAUGACCACUGCUAAAAUUAACAAAUAAAGCACCCACUCUCAGUAUCUUUAGAGCCUUCUGUGUACUCCUCACUAAUACAUCCCUCUCCUUGGUCUAUAUCCCAAAUGUAACUGCUUCCCCAGCUUUGUGUUAAUCAAUCACAUAUUCUGCAAUGUAUUUUUAUCUGCAAGUAACAUCAGAAAAGUUUGUUUAGAAUUCGUUGUUUUUUAGCAUGACAUAAAUUGAGUCAUAUCAGUGCUUUAAUUUUAAUAUUGAACGAGAAAAAAUACAACAUUGACUAAUUCAAGUUUGAUAUUCCCACGGAAUGUUUGGGCACCAUAGACCCACCAAAAGUUUUCCCAAGAAUGAAUGAGUCUUAAGAUUCCUUAAGAUCCCAGUUGCAACAUUCUUCAAAUAAUAGUUAUUGAUUAGUGUAAACAACUCCUCAUCUGCACUCUGAAUUAUAAGGGAUUUUGAUUUGAACCAUUUCGAUUGAGCCUAUAUAAAUUUGCUGUAAAUCAUGAGAGUAUGCUCUAAAGAUAUUUCAUCAUAGCUUAUAUAUCAUUUUUUUCUUUGUCAGAAUUGAAGGCAAGGCUGAAUAAUUAUAAUCAUGUUUAUAUUUAAAUCCAGAAAUAUUACUUUCUCUAUCAUUAUGAAACUAGUGGUUUAACAUGUUUAUUAAUGAUUUCACCCAAAAGACACUUCAAAACAGACAUUAUUGCUACUUGUUUAGUUUUAAUCUUCCAAGAUAAUGACAUAUAUGUUCUGCCAUAAUUUUUGUCUAAUUUUUGUACCCAUUUGUAUCUUUCUUAAUUGCCUAAUUAAAAGAGUGUAACGCAGGUUUUAUAAGUUGAAUUAUUGCUGAGAUACCUUAUGCUUACAAUAUUAUGUGUGUGUGUAUGAAUUUCUAAUCUGUGUCAGGUCAUAAUCAUUUCAGUUUCAAUGAGUUAGGAGUGACAGCUGCUUAGGAAACAACUUGUUUCUAUUAAAGCUAGCAUAUUUGUCAUUAGAGUAAGGAUCUCUUUGGCAGUUUAUUUUGUAUUGUUAAUAAUUAUCAUUAUUUUGACUAUAGGGCAUUUAAUUUCCACAUUUAACAUUUGGUACUGUUAUGUAAGCAACUGACUCAUAAAAUAAAAUCCAAACUGUCAACAUUUUUGCAAUCAUAGGGAGGACAAGUAAGCAAAUUAGAUGAAUACAAGACCUAAAUUAAGGGGCAUGUGAAUCAUACAGAAUUUAUUAAUAAGAAUGUGGAUGAACUAUAGCACUUCAUUCUAUAUUGAUGCUGAAUUAGAGUUCAUUUGACUUAUGGUAGUUACUAAAAUGUCCUUUUUCUUUUUUAUUAAAAAUGGGGAUAUCAACCAUUUUAUUUAUUUUAAUGUUGUGUAUGCCUGGGAGUAAGAAAACAUGUAUAAAAUAUGGUACACAUGGUGACGACUGAGGGCGGAAGCAUGGUUAUCACUGUCUGCAACAUAUCCAUUGUUGUCCCAGCAAUCUUGAUCUGACUGACAUAUUAUAAGAGAAUUACUCAAAUGGCUACAAGUUACAAACCAAUUAGUUUGGGUUAUUAUAAUGAGUCCUCAGCCACAGACAAUUAGAUGCCCCCUUUUCUGUAUAGAUCCCUGAUAUUCUAAAAGCCUGAAAGCUGCUGUGGAGCAUUCGCUAUCCUUCCCACAUUUGAAUGAAAUAAAUUGAUCACAGAAAUAUCCUGUGAUGUACCCUAAGAGAAAGAGCCCUCCUAUCAGACACCCUGGGUUUUAACCCGAACUCUGUCAUUUAUUUUAAAAAGCUGUGUAAUCUUCAGAUAUUUGUUUAAGUUCUUCAUGCCUCAGUCUUUUCAUCAGCAAAGUGGGAAAAAAUAGUAAUAUUUGAUAGGGUUGCUGUGUGGACGAAAUGAGAAAACACAUUCUAAGCCCUUAGAAAAAAGCUUAGCAUAUUAUAAGCACUAAAAAACUCAGUUUUACUAUCAUCCUAAGUGACAUUUACAAUUUCUAGAUAAUUAAAUGAGUCUAGAAUCGUUUUACUUAAAGUACCAAAGAAAAUCACAGGCAGAUGUGGGUACAAGUGCCCCAGAGUCCACGGUCUUAAAUUGACACCUUCUCUAUCUUAUUUCUGAGAACAAAAUUUUAAAUUCCUCAAAAUAUGCCACAAGAAUUAUGGCAUUGGACAUCUAAAAAUUGAGCUGUAUCCAUAUUUUGCUCAUGUAGGACCAGAAAAACUUUAUAAAUAUUUUGGCUCUAACAAUUUUUUCAGAGUGCUGGGGCAGACCUAUGUCUUAGCCAUUUUUGUACACACGGGAUUAGCCCAUCUUACAGAUAGUGGGCACUCAAAAAAUGUUGGUUGAAUGGGUAAUUUCUUAGUUUUGGUCUGUCUGCUCUGCAAGACGAUUCCUGAUCUGAAGGCAUUUCUCAAUCCUCAUCCCAUUGUCCCGCAAUUUAUUGGGUCAAGCUCUACGUAUGUAGAAAAUGGCCAUAAUUUUUACAUUUCUUAUUCUCGUCUAUAUCAAAAUCCUGAAUUUCUCCA